CUUGUAUGUCGAUUUAUCCCUGAUUGACCCACAUUCACUGAGUCCUGAACAUAACCUAAUACGGGUUCACUUUAACUGCUCUUAUUUUGGCACAAAAGUGAGAGGUCUAUCACUCCUGAGUCUGUCUGGUGUGUUGCGAGGUGAUCCUUUCCAGUCAGGUCCUAUCCUCUCCUGUCAGGUCCUCUCCUCUCCUGUCAGGUCCUCUCCUCUCCUGUCCUCUUCUCCUGUCAGGUCCUCUCCUCUCCUGUCCUCUUCUCCAGUCAGGUCCUGUCCUCUUCUCCAGUCAGGUCCUGUCCUCUUCUCCAGUCAGGUCCUGUCCUCUCCUCUCCUGUCAGGUCCUGUCCUCUCCUCUCCUGUCAGGUCCUGUCCUCUCCUCUCCUGUCAGGUCCUGUCCUCUCC
ensembl:lncRNA